UGGGGAAUAUUGCACAAUGGGCGAAAGCCUGAUGCAGCGACGCCGCGUGAGGGAUGACGGCCUUCGGGUUGUAAACCUCUUUCAGCAGGGACGAAGCGCAAGUGACGGUACCUGCAGAAGAAUCACCGGCUAACUACGUGCCAGCAGCCGCGGUAAUACGUAGGGUGCAAGCGUUGUCCGGAAUUACUGGGCGUAAAGAGUUCGUAGGCGGUUUGUCGCGUCGUUUGUGAAAACCAGCAGCGCAACAGCUGGCUUGCAGGCGAUACGGGCAGACUUGAGGAGUGCAGGGGAGACUGGAAUUCCUGGGGUAGCGGUGAAAUGCGCAGAUAUCAGGAGGAACACCGGUGGCGAAGGCGGGUCUCUGGGCAGUAACUGACGCUGAGGAACGAAAGCGUGGGUAGCGAACAGG
rnacentral:rRNA from 1 species